ensembl:lncRNA
UGAUACCAGACACUCUAUCUUGCGUGGGAACUGUUCGCUUUCAUGAUCUUCAGAAAAGCAGGUAUAGUUGUACUGAAAAUCUUCCCUGGACAGAUGUGGAAAAUACAAUGGUAGUGUGCAGAGGUCACCAUUCUUUGUGACAUUUUUUGUUUCCCUUGGCCUAGGACAAUGAGGACAGUCUGAGAGUUUGACCCAGUGUCCAUGGACAAAUCCAGAGGAGCAGUUGUAGGUGCAGUUCAACACUAAAGGCUCUCCAACUGCUGCAUGGAUGACUUCAUGCUGUUUCUGCAGGGAGCUACUGCCCAUGGAAAAGGACCUCCCAGCCUUUGACCUGUCUUGCCAAACAGUGCAAGAGCUGCAAUGGGACCUUUCUAUGUGGAGGUACUGUGGUACCUCGCUGGAGUAGGACAGGGGCAGAGCUAACUCAGCCGUCAAGACAGCUUGUCCCCCCAUGCCCUCCUGGGACACACAGGGACAGUGAGGAGGGAGCAGCCUGCAUGUUUUGUCCUUUAGGUCAUUACUGUGUUGGAGGUGUUGCUUUGCCGUGCCCAGCAGGAACCUACGGACCCAAAGAGGCUUUCAUGGGGUGAGGGACUGCCCCCCCUGUCCAGCAGGUAAUCAGACCAUCCUCAGGUCAUCUCCACAGUGGGGAUUCAGUAAAGUUACAAUACCAACAUAAAUAUAUAGUCGAUUAUUAUAAAAGUUGAAUCAGAGGCUGACAUAAAAAACAAAAUACACAUGUAAAACAUACAUGUAAGUUUCCUGCUUCUUGUUCUGCAGCGUUUGUGGUUUAUUUUAUCUUUUGUGAUGUUAUGUGUGCUAUGCUAUGUUUUGUCAUGUCAUCUUAUGUUAUCUCUAUUGUCUGGAAGGGAUGAGUAAUUGUGACACUUACAAUAAUACUCUUCAACAGGGUUUUACUGUUUGGAAGACAGCUCACGGAGACCGGGCUCCCAAUUCAUGUGCCCACAAGGGUAUUACUGUGAGGAGGGCACAGAAAUGCCCCACGGGUCACCUUGCCCCGCUGGCACUGCAGGAGAACAACUGGGCCAGACAAGUAGGACAGCCUGAGAUGUUCAGAGGGACGAUUGUGUCCUGCAGACAGGGAGCUGCCCUAAUGGAAAUUACUGCCCUCUGGGUACUGCAUAUCCUUACACGUCCCAAUGCCAGUCUGGCUUCUACAGGAACAUGGGGAUGUGUGUACCAUGUCUGGCCAGGUACUACUGUGCCAGUCCAGGAACAUCCACACCCACUGUCUGCCCACAGACCGACUGAUGGGCCAAUUGGAGGCUUGUGUCCAGCAGGAAGUUACUGCCCUCCUGGCUCUCCCCAUGCCUCCGACAAUUUUAGCAUUCAGCACUGGCCUCCGCACCUCCCAGCAGCGUGUUGACUGCCCAGCUGUUUAAGAACUCAUAGUUAGGGCCUGGAGUCCCAGUCAGAUCACAUGGUCAGAAAAACUAGCCCCAUCUAUUAUCGAGAUCCGAUUCAGCUAUACUUUUUUUAUGUUUUCAAUUUAUAGAAAAGCACCCACUCUCUGUGUCAUCAUCAUCAAAGUGUUUCUUUGUUUUAGGUCCUAUUGUUUAGGUUCAAAUAAUACUUCUCCAAUUGGCCUGUGAUCUGCUGGUUUCUACUGUACUCUGUAUCACCUGCUCAGAAUGAGGCUGAGGAGGGUCAGUAUGCCCUGAUCCCUGUCCCAUUGGCACCGGUACAGUACAUGUAGUGCACGAUGUAGGGGAGGGAUCAGAGCAGGUAGCCUAGCGGUUAAGAGUGUUGAGCCAGUAAUUGAAAGGUCACUGGUUCAAAUCCCUGAGUCAACUAGGCAAAAAAUCUGUAGAUGUGCCAUUGAGCAAGGCACUUAACCCUAAUUGCUCAUGUAAGUCGCUCUGGAUAAGAGUGUUUACUAAAUAACUCAAAUGUAAAAUAUAAACAUAAUUACACAUAAGAUGUUGACUGCAAAUUGACUGCACAAAGCCCAAACAGAUAUGUUUGACUGAAACAUAAUCAUGUCCAACCUUGCUUACAUUUGUAUACAAUGCGUGGGAGUACUUGAACAGAUUAUUUUCUAAUUAAAAUCACUUGUUGCUGAUUUCCUGAUGUUUUUAGUCUAUUAUGUCCAACAAUAAAAUAUGUAUAAAUAAAAAGUUAAUAUAUACAGUACCAGUCAAAAGUUGACACCUACUCAUUCCAGGGUUUUUCUUUAUUUGUACUAUUUUCUACAUUGUAGAAUAACAGUGAAGACAUCAAAACUAUGAAAUAUGUGGAAUCAUGUAGAAACCAAAAAAGUGUUAAAGAAUCACAUCAGUGACUCAACCCACUCAAGUCGAGUAUAGCAAAAGCCUGGCACGCCGUGACGCGC